rnacentral:ncRNA from 1 species
AAGAGCCGGAUGACGCGAGAGCGUCACGUCCGGUUCCGUGAGAGCCUGCGGGGGAAGUUCCUGCGGGCUACUCGAC